UACGUAGGGUCCGAGCGUUAUCCGGAAUUAUUGGGCGUAAAGGGCUCGUAGGCGGUUUGUUGCGUCGGGAGUGAAAACCCAGGGCUUAACUCUGGGCUUGCUUCCGAUACGGGCAGACUUGAGGUAUUCAGGGGAGAACGGAAUUCCUGGUGUAGCGGUGAAAUGCGCAGAUAUCAGGAGGAACACCGGUGGCGAAGGCGGGUCUCUGGGCCUGUACUGACGCUGAGGAGCGAAAGCGUGGGGAGCGAACGGG
rnacentral:rRNA from 1 species